rnacentral:lncRNA from 1 species
UUUACAUUACAACCCGUCAUAUUUCAAAUCAAAAUCAAUCGAGUCCACGUCCGAUCGGCAACAGCGCCUCGUCCUGGCAUCGAGGAGAGCCAGAACUCAUCUCUUCGGUAGCUCGUCACCACCCUCCCGGCAGCCUCCGACAUCACGUACCCACCCUCCCGGAGUCGAUCAACUACUUUGAGGUAGCAGAUUCCUCCUCUGUGUCUGCUCCUGCAAUUAACACUUUGAAUGCAAUUAACAAUUUGAAUGUUAACAUGGGGCAAAGACAAGAUGGAUCAGUAUAUAACAAUGGAGUACAUGCACAAUUAGAUGUUCAAGCUGUUUAAUGUCACUCCCAUCAUCACAAUUUCAUCUCAGGAAAUGGAGUAGAAUAGAUUUAAUUGGAUGUUUGAAUGAUAUGGUUACUUACAAGUGUCAGGGCUAUUACGAUCAGUUAAGUAAUUGCACCUGAUUAAAGAGGAGCCAAAGAAUUUACAUGUGGUCUAGUGCAUAUGCAAGUGCAAGUUACUCAGUUAAAAUUCAGUACUCCAUUGCCCAAAAUAAUUCAGUUAAAAUUUUGUUAAAAGAUCACUGAAUUAACCAAGUACUCCAGGUCAGGUCCAGUUACUCAAUGCAUAAUUUCUAAACCUAUCAUCAAUGGAAGGUCACCAAUUUUAAUUGAGCAGUAGCUAAUUGAGCAAACACACUGAGCUUAUGCAUAACACAUUAGCUACGGAAAGUACUCACCUUGCGGUGAUUAUUUCACAGGGAUAAACCUCCAAAUAUAACCACUAUACCACACUAUAUAAAUUGUGAAUCAAGGAACUGCUGCAAUUGACAUGAGAAGAUCAACAAUAUAUGCUCACCUCCAGGAACAAAGUCAGCUCCAUAUAUAUGCUAGCUCCAGGGUAAAUAUGCCAAAAUAUCACACCUUGUGAAAAGAGCAUCUUAUUAAACAGUCAGUCACAAACAUUCUAAUUUCUUAACAUAAUUACAGUAAGUUACUUACUUGCGGUAUACACAGGGGAUAAUUAUCAUAUUAAUUACCUUGUUUGAGGUAAAUUAAUUGCUAAAGUUAACAUAAAAUGUAAAUUAGAUGAACUGUAAACUGUUCAAGGAAACAGAAAGUGCAAACCGCAUAACAAACAAAAAUAGCAAGAUUAGCCUCUUGUUUACCAUUAAGUUUGGACUUUGGACAAAACGUGUUUUGAUUGAUCAUACAGUAGAUUUACGGGGCAUCUCGCUGAAGGACGGGUCCUUGGCGAUCUGCUCCGCCAUCUCCUUGAUGCUCGGGUCCUGCGCCCACGCC